UCACCAGCUAAGGCCCCUAAAUGACUGCUUAGUGAUAAAAGAAGUAGGGAUGUAGAGACAUCUAAGAGGUUUGCCUAAAAUCAGCCACCCUUAAAAUAGUGCGUAAUAGCUCACUGAUCGAACACAUUUGCGCGCCAAAGAUGAACGGGGCUAAGAUAUAUUAGCCAAUUAAUGUGA
rnacentral:ncRNA from 1 species